rnacentral:rRNA from 1 species
AUGGAAGAAGAAAUUGAUGAAACUAUGAGCUCAUUGGAUGAAAACGAUGAUGAGGAGAGCGAAGAACAAAAGGAGGAAGAGUGGAUUAGCUACCCGUGCCCACCUUCUAAUGAGAGUAACUCUUCAAAUCAUACAUUGUUUAAUUUCCCUUCAUGUUUACCGAAGGAUGAAUGCUAUGAUGAUUGUUAUGAUCCCGUUGAUUCUCUUGAAAUAUCCCUUUUUGAUGAUGCUUGCUAUGCUUGUGGCCAAGAUGCCAAUAUGAAUUAUGCUUAUGGAGAUGAACUUGCUAUAGUUCCUCAUGUUAAACAUGAAAUUGUUGCUAUUGCACCCACGCAUGAUAGUCCUAUUAUCUUUUUGAAUUCUCCCUACUACACUAUAUCGGAGAAGUUUGCACUUAUUAAGGAUUAUAUUGAUGGGUUGCCUUUUACCGUUGCACAUGAUGAUUUUGAUGAAUAUAAUAUGCAUGUGCUUGCUACUCCUACUUGCAAUUAUUAUGAGAGAGGAACUAUAUCUCCACCUCUCUAUGUUUCCAAUAUAAUAAAAUUGCAAGAAACUGUUUAUACUAUGCAUUGGCCUUUACUAUGUGUGCACGAAUUGUUCUUUUAUGACAUGCCGAUGCAUAGGAAGAGAGUUAGACUUCAUAAUUACAUGAUAUAUGUUAAUUUGUGCUCACUACUAAAUUAA